rnacentral:rRNA from 1 species
GAGUUUGAUCAUGGCUCAGGAUGAACGCUGGCGGCGUGCCUAAUACAUGCAAGUCGAGCGAACGGACGAGAAGCUUGCUUCUCUGAUGUUAGCGGCGGACGGGUGAGUAACACGUGGAUAACCUACCUAUAAGACUGGGAUAACUUCGGGAAACCGGAGCUAAUACCGGAUAAUAUUUUGAACCGCAUGGUUCAAAAGUGAAAGACGGUCUUGCUGUCACUUAUAGAUGGAUCCGCGCUGCAUUAGCUAGUUGGUAAGGUAACGGCUUACCAAGGCAACGAUGCAUAGCCGACCUGAGAGGGUGAUCGGCCACACUGGAACUGAGACACGGUCCAGACUCCUACGGGAGGCAGCAGUAGGGAACCUUCCGCAAUGGGCGAAAGCCUGACGGAGCAACGCCGCGUGAGUGAUGAAGGUCUUCGGAUCGUAAAACUCUGUUAUUAGGGAAGAACAUAUGUGUAAGUAACUGUGCACACCUUGACGGUACCUAAUCAGAAAGCCACGGCUAACUACGUGCC